rnacentral:lncRNA from 1 species
CGGUAGGCAUCCACACUUGAUUGUGUAUUGUUCCCUCUUGCUCAAGCUUCCUCUGCACGUACGCCUUGAUUCUCCUUUGGUAUAGUGGGGUGAGUGUAGCAUUAGGAUAAAUGUAUAUUGGUCUGAGGAUAAAUGCAUGGAUGUGUAACCAUCUAUAAAAAUUCAGAGGAUAAAUGUAUAUUGGUCAUUGACUGCAGUCUGCACUGCAUACCUCUAGGUGGCUUUUGGUUUUGGGCUGUCUGAUCA